CCCUUAGAUGUUCUGGGCCGCACGCGCGCUACCCUGACGAAUGCAACGAGCUUAUAACCUUGGCCGAAAGGUCUGGGUAAUCUCCAAAUUUCGUCGUGAUGGGGAUAGAUUAUUGCAAUUAUUAAUCUUCAACGAGGAAUGCCUAGUAAGCGCAAGUCAUCAGCUUGCGUUGAUUACGUCCCUGCCCUUUGUACACACCGCCCGUCGCUCCUACCGAUUGAAUGGUCCGGUGAAGCGUUCGGACCGUGGCCUUUGGACGGUUCGCCGUCUGUUGGCUGCGGGAAGUUCGUUAAACCUUAUCAUUUAGAGGAAGGAGAAGUCGUAACA
rnacentral:rRNA from 1 species